rnacentral:rRNA from 1 species
UACGAAGGGGGCUAGCGUUGUUCGGAAUCACUGGGCGUAAAGGGCGCUUAGGCGGCUUUAUAAGUCGGGGGUGAAAGCCUGUGGCUCAACCACAGAAUUGCCUUCGAUACUGUAGAGCUUGAGACCGGAAGAGGUAAGUGGAACUGCGAGUGUAGAGGUGAAAUUCGUAGAUAUUCGCAAGAACACCAGUGGCGAAGGCGGCUUACUGGUCCGGUUCUGACGCUGAGGCGCGAAAGCGUGGGGAGCAAACAGG